rnacentral:lncRNA from 1 species
GUAUCCUGUUCACAACGUUCUGCAUACUGGAGAAAGCUUCGACGCACUACAAAAGACGAUGACGCACAUCAUAGAACACGGUACAUCCGAGGAAGAUGGCACAGUUUACACCAUUAGUAAGAAAUCCACAGGGCAUUGUUAUGAAAGAGAGUCGCAGAGCAAUGAUGAAGAUGAAGAGGGCAAUGAUGAAGCUGUCGUACGUGAAAAUAUAUCCAAAAAGCGUAAACAUACAAAGAAAUCCAAGAAGAGCAAAAAAAAGAAGGUAAAGCGUCAACGUGAGACGUCUUCAGAUACUGCAGAUGAUACAUCAUCAGUUGAUGAAAAUUCUCCACCAACACACCAUCCCACUUCGAACCCACGACAGAAUUUCAACAUAUCCAAUGCAUAACCUGUUAUCGUUUCUGUAAAUGAGACAGCUCGCCCUUCAGCCCACAGUUUGACAAGGUCGGUAACUGAAUAUGACCUAUCAACGUCACAAACUUUAGCCUCAACCUCGAAUUUGGUAGCUGAAGCUGCAACUGUAGUUGCAUCCCGAAAUCCACUGAGGCCCAUUGACGAGAAAGCUCUACAAUAUUUGGAACGUAUAAAAUCUUGUGUAGACCAGAAUCAACUCAUGCUGAGGAAAAUCAUAUCGAGGCAGCAAGCAACUAACGUGGACAGCGUACAAAGGCCAGAGGUAUUUCCAACGCUUCCAAUUGAAACAAUGGAAGAAUUUGCGAACCUCGAAGAACUUCUCAAAUCGAAUGAGCAUCGAAUAUACCUGAUGCUGUUAAAGCUACUUUCCAUGGUAAGGAAUUAGUAAGCGAUAUCAAGGAAGCGAAUAUUGCAGCUGCAGUUAAAGAUUGGUUGAAACUAGCUCGAUC